UGUUUCCGCUUUGGCAAAAGCUGGACAACUGCACCUCACAUCCUUGGGCGGAGCCCGCAACACCCAAGAGAACUACAAGCCCCGGCAGCUAGACACCUUAUGUGGUUGUGGGAAUUGUGGUCCCCGAUAGAAGCAAGGUACAUUCCAGCAACAAUUUCACUCUCCCAGAGAUUUCAACUCUGCCUCCUGCCAGGUGGACUCUGGUUUUCACUGGCUUCUGGGUGUAUACUUGUGAGUGCAGAUACAUCAUGGAGAGGCCAGAGGCAUCAUUUGGAGUCACAGAUGGUGACACUUCCGCCUCACCUUCAGGAACUGUAUUUGACUCUUUCAGAAACACUGACAGAAGAAGGUGUUUUCCUCCCAACUUCGGAACUAUCUUAACUUUCCCAUUUCCUCUCAUGGCAAGGGAAGCUCUUUAAGAAACCCUCUCCACUCGAGGGAGUGCUCAUGAGCUGACCAGCGAGCCUCUCAUAAUAUAACAGCAUUACUUUUCUAUUAUCCUUAUUAUUGUUCUACUCUGUAUUCUUUUCCUUCAGAGUGUUUGCUGCAUUGUUAAGUUAAUAAGGGUUUUUUCCCCCAUUAUUUCCUCUACUUGUCUUGAUGCACAUAUUUUCUCUCUUAGUGUCAAAAUAAGGUGAUGGUGAAUUAGGAGUCCUUCCUGAGCUGAGAAUACUUUUGUAAUCUGGUAACCUUUGGCAUGAAGCACAUAUCCUAGUGAAUGAUGGAGCACUUAAGAGUGAUUCACCACUGAACAUUACAGAAAAUAGGCUGAGGGGCUCAGAAAUUCAAGGCAAGUUCCUUCUACUCAGCGUGGCGUAUAUACUGUACUCUCACUCUCCUAUCCCCUAUUAUGUGGUUAAGAGAGAGGAGAUAAUGAUGGCUUCCUAAAGUUACCUAUAAUGCACUCAAAACUCUGUUAGGUGUAAUGGUUUUAAAAGGCAGAAUGAAAACACAGCUAGGAGAUCAACACAAAAGGAAUCAUUUGCUGAUAGCGACUGUGAGCCUGCGUUCCUACA